rnacentral:rRNA from 1 species
UGGGGAAUAUUGGACAAUGGGCGGAAGCCUGAUCCAGCAACGCCGCGUGAGGGAUGACGGCCUUCGGGUUGUAAACCUCUUUCAGCACAGACGAAGCGCAAGUGACGGUAUGUGCAGAAGAAGGACCGGCCAACUACGUGCCAGCAGCCGCGGUAAUACGUAGGGUCCGAGCGUUGUCCGGAAUUAUUGGGCGUAAAGGGCUCGUAGGCGGUUUGUCGCGUCGGGAGUGAAAACACCGGGCUUAACUCGGUGCUUGCUUUCGAUACGGGCAGACUAGAGGCAUUCAGGGGAGAACGGAAUUCCUGGUGUAGCGGUGAAAUGCGUAGAUAUCAGGAGGAACACCGGUGGCGAAGGCGGUUCUCUGGGAAUGUCCUGACGCUGGGGAGCGAAAGUGUGGGGAGUGAACAGGAUUAGAUACCCUGGUAGUCCACACCGUAAACGUUGGGCGCUAGGUGUGGGAUCCAUUCCACGGGUUCCGUGCCGCAGCUAACGCAUUAAGCGCCCCGCCUGGGGAGUACGGCCGCAAGGCUAAAAACUCAAAUGAAUUGACGGGGUCAUAGCUGUUUCCU